CCACGAUAGGUCACGAUUUCUGGAAUGGAUCAUGGCCUAAAUCUACAUGGCCCCUGGAUUGGACUGCGGCCGAUCAGGCAGUUGGUGAGGUAAUGGCCCACCAAACCUAUAACCGGUACGGGCUCUGAGAGGAGAAGCCCGGAGAUGGGCACUGAGACAAGGGCCCAGGCCCUAUGGGGCGCAGCAGGCGCGAAACCUCUGCAAUAGGCGAAAGCCUGACAGGGUUACUCUGAGUGAUUUCCGCUAAGGGGAUCUUUUGGCACCUCUAAAAAUGGUGCAGAAUAAGGGGUGGGCAAGUCUGGUGUCAGCCGCCGCGGUAAUACCAGCACCCCGAGUGGUCGGGACGAUUAUUGGGCCUAAAGCAUCCGUAGCCGGUUCUGCAAGUCUUCCGUUAAAUCCAGCCGCUCAACGGAUGGGCCGCGGAGGAUACUAUAGGACUAGGAGGCGGGAGAGGCAAGCGGUACUCAGUGGGUAGGGGUAAAAUCCUUUGAUCCAUUGAAGACCACCAGUGGCGAAGGCGGCUUGCCAGAACGCACUCGACGGUGAGGGAUGAAAGCUGGGGGAGCAAACCGGAUUAGAUACCCGGGUAGUCCCAGCUGUAAACGAUGCAGACUCGGUGAUGGGCUAGCCUUGUGCCAGCCCAGUGCCGCA
rnacentral:rRNA from 1 species